GUGCUGAAGCGUUCUUAAAAACGUGAUUGUGAACUGAGCUAUCAUCGUAGCACAUCCAGUUUGAAAAACCACUUGAUGGCCAAGCACACUGCUGAUGCGAACUCUCCGCCCCCUCGUCAUAGCCAGACAAAAAUGGAUGACGACAGAAAAACAUGGAUACUGUCACUAAGAACAAACUUAUUGCAGCCAUAGCUAAAUAGGUGGCUACUGCGUGUAGGCCUGUUAACGUUGUGGAGGACGAGGGUCUAGCUGAUAUCAUACACAUCGCAUCCAACGACUGGACCUACGAAUUGCAUUCGAGAGCCACCAUUACAAGCCACGUUCAGAAGUUGCACAAAACUGAGAAGGCUAAGGUACAGCAGGCAUUGGAGAAGACAAAAGCAGUCGCGCUCACUGGUGAUUACUGGACGUCCCUCAGUAAUCACAACUACCUCGGGGUCACAGCCCAUUUCUUUGAUCGACAGUGGAAACUUGAGUCAUAUGCUUUGACUGUUAUGAAGACAGAAGAGAGGCACGCUGUUGCAGAGCACUUUAUGAAAGUAGCUGGAGAGUGGGACAUCGAACUGACAACGGAUAGUGCACGUAAUAUGAUUGCAGCAGCCAGGCAGCUCCCCUUUGAGCACAUGCCGUGCAUCGCACACAGUGUGCACCGAGCCGUCACGGUUUCUCUAACCAACAGCCCGUUUGACAGUGCAUUGGCAAAAUGCAGAAGAGUUGUGGGUCAUUUUAAGCAUAGCCCAGCAAACCAAGCGGAGCUCGAGCAGCAAGAAGUCACACAUCAUCAAAAGACAGAGUCACUCGCACAGGAAGUGUCAACUAGAUGGAAUAGUACCCUGGAAAUGAUCAAGCGUGUUCAUCGGAAUGCUGAACCUCUGAGAGAUGCACUGGCCCUGCACACAACCAACGCCGCCAUGCCAACAGCUGCUGAGCUGGAGCUGAAACUGAAGAAGCUCGAGGCUGUGCCGGAGCCUUGCAGGUAUGUGUCUGAACUUCUAGGAGGAGAGAAGUUUGUGUCGUGCUCAGUGGUGCUGCCAUCGUUGUGUCAUCUGUCGUGAGUGAUGGAGGUCACUGAGGACGACCCAGCUUACAUGAUCAAGUUCAAGGGAACCUUUACAGCAAACAUGGAGGGUCGUAAAGAGAAGACUAACAUCACAUGGCUGAGAGUUGCAACAGCACUUGACCCAAGAUCAGAUUGCCAUGCUUCAUUCUUUAUCAUACUCAUCCUCAUUCACAUAAUUGUUUUUCGCUCAGUGUGUUUCUAUUGUUAGGUUGCUUGCUUCUUUACUUUGUAUUUUUGAAAUUAGC
ensembl:lncRNA